GCUACAGUGAUCAGCCUCCAAAGGAUGUGAAGCCGAGGCCUGGUCAUUCACACGGUCACAGUAAAGGAGUUGUGAUGAUGGAGAAAGACAAAACUGGACUCUGGCUCUUACACAGCACACCACAGUUCCCUCAAAAAGGGCAACAUUUCUACCCUGAAAGUGGAUCAAAAAAAGGCCAGACGUUCAUCUGUGUAACAUUCAACUACGACCAGUUCAAAGCUAUCGGUACACACCUGCAGUACAUCAACG